rnacentral:rRNA from 1 species
GAUUAAGCCAUGCAUGUGUAAGUAUAAAUAAUUCUACUUUGAAACUGCGAAUGGCUCAUUAUAUCAGUUAUAGUUUAUUAGAAAAAAUGUACUACUUGGAUAACCGUAGUAAUUCUAGGGCUAAUACAUGAGUAAAUCCUCGACUUUUGAAGAGGUGUGUUUAUUAGUAUGAAAACCAUAUGCUUCGGCAUGAUAGUGAGUAAUAAUAACCUUUCAUAUCGUAUGUUGAAAUAACGAUAGUUCUUUCAAGUUUCUGCCCUAUCAGCUUUCGAUGGUAGUGUAUUGGACUACCAUG